rnacentral:rRNA from 1 species
CCUACGGGAGGCAGCAGUGGGGAAUAUUGCACAAUGGGGGAAACCCUGAUGCAGCAACGCCGCGUGAGUGAGGAAGGAUUUCGGGAGGUAAAGCUCUAGCAGCAGGGAAGAGAAAAGAAGGAACCGGAAAAAGAAGCCCCGGCUAACUACGUGCCAGCAGCCGCGGUAAUACGUAGGGGGCAAGCGUUAUCCGGAUGUACGGGGGGUAAUGGGAGCGUAGACGGCAAGGCAAGUCAGAAGUGAAAGCCCCAGGCUCAACCAGGGGACUGCUUUUGAAACUGUCAAACUAGAGUACGGGAGAGGUAAGCGGACUUCCUAGUGUAGCGGUGAAAUGCGUAGAUCUUAGG